CAAUUCUAGUGAACACGGACGCCACGUCACAAAAUCGGCUGUAUCUCCGAAAAUAAGUCGAAUUUUGAAAAAUCCUUCCAAGGUCAUAUUUUUGAAAGUCUAAACUUUCAAGAUAUCCAAAAAAAAAAUCGAUUUUUUCAAAAUCCUAGACAAGAAUACCCCCUUAAGUGUGGGGCUCCACUUAGAUCUGAACUGUUUUUAGAAAAUUAUUGUGCUCGUGAAAAGUGAUGGGUUUCCGCCUAGCCCGUGAAGCCAAGGCCUAGGGCGGCACUAUUUAGGGGCGGCAAAAUAUCAGAACGUUAAAACUUUGCAGCUGAAGAAAUAUACCAAGAUUUUAUUCCAAAAAUUAAUUCUUUUUUAUUUGAAUCUAUAGUAAAUUGACAAUGAUUUAUAAUAAAAUUUAUUUUUCCAUUGAUUUCGUAAUUCUUUAUAAUAUUAUAUAAUAUACAUAUAAUACAUUAAUUAUUAAUAUAAUAUAAUAAUUCCAUUAAUCAAUCAUAGUUUUAAUAGAAAAAUCAUUGUUUGCAAAAUACUACAUACCUUUUUACUUAGUAUCUUGAUGCAAUUGUUAAUAUUUUUUUCUUUGAACAUAAUGUUUAAAAAUAUAAAUUAAGAAUAAAUUAUUGAAAACUG